UAUGGAGUUUACGUGUUUGUAACGUGCACAAUGUUGGAUUUAUUAGAAAAUAUUGUAAGAUUUAAUGUUUAAUAUUUAAUUUUAAUGUAAAUGGGGAAACGACAAUAGUAGAUUGAAUGGUAAUAGCAUAUUUUGUAAAUACUGUAGUAAAGAAAGGGGAGUUAAUUAUUUAGGUUGAGAAUCAUUGUGGGAUUGACACCUAGGCAUGUCAUGGAUGUAAAUAAAUUACAAAUUAAAUGUUACUCUCCCAAAAUGUAAAGAUAUUGUUUUAUCAAAACCAAAAAUCCAACCAAUUUAAUUUUCUUUGAACAAUAUAUACACACAAUCAAAUCUAACAAAUGUUUCUAAUAAUAAAAAAAUUAUAAAGCUAUAAAUAGGGAUUGUUCAUGUAAUCAGAGGCAUAAAAAAGAGACAAACAUAGAAGAUACACAAAACUAAAAAAAAAACAAAAGAUGGAGAAGAAGUGUAUAUCUAUGUUGAUGAUUAUGUUCAUUGCAUUGACGAUGAUGCCAUUACAAGCAAUGAGUGAAUCUUAUGAAGCUUGUUAUGAUAGGUGCAUUUCCUCGUGCCAGAUAUUUUUUGAAGGAGUUGAAAAAUGCAUUCACGAUUGUGUUGGUACCAAAUGUCAUAAAACACAUGUACUCCCUCGGAUGGUGGCUAAAGGGAUGUUUCAAGAAAUUCAUACAUAGAGAGAUAUGUUAUUAAACACACAUGAUGUUUAAGUUUACUACUCUUUGAUUUAUAUAAUUUUGAAUAAUAAAAUUCCUCCAUCAUUUAUAGAAUUCAAUUUUUUUCACAACA